UGCCAUGGAAACGAGUUGGGGACCCAGGGACCAUCCUGCUGGGGCUGGACCUGUACGGUGGGGAUGGUGCUGGUCCAUAGGGACGGAUGGGACAGAGGGGUGCUGCAGAGCAGGGCUGAGCCCCCGCUGCAUCCGCCAAAAUGGGAUACUUGGGGCUGGGGGGGUGCAAAGUGGAGUAAGGCAGACCUCAAACAGGGGGCUGAGCAUCCCAAACUGGAGCAGCGGGGGCUGGUGGGGGAAAGGUCUGCUGGAUGCUCCUGGGCCACACGGCUUGCUGAUGCUCAGGACUGCAAAUUGUGCAGAAAGGACUUCCAGCAGAGGAGGUGCAGGCAGCUGGGUGCUGCAGGGGCUGAGCACCCUCCGGGGAGCCAGUGACCGCCCUGAUCCAAGCCAAAGCUGGAGGAGGUCAUCAGCAAUUCCCUGGAUGGGAAAGAUUCUCCGCAGAGUUCUGUCUGCUGGGCUGGAAAUCCCUCUUUUUGGCUUAAGUUAGGAGCAUUGUGAGACAGGGGAUGACUUAAGGGGUACAGUUAAUCAGUUCUGACAGUGCUGGCCUGGGUGAGACCUUACCGGCUGUGUGGGGGCGAGUGCACGGAGCUCUGUCAUGAACCAUUUGGGGCGUCUCGUUUGGGUCUUACCUUGGAUUUCUCUUCAGUAGACCAUAAAGACAAAAAGUCAUUCCAAAGCACUUUAUUCAAAAAAAAAAAAAAGGCCACGGGUUUGAAGUUGUCAAAACAAUUUUCCACUGUUCCAAAAUAAUCUCUCAGAAGUGACCCAGAUUUUACGAGGCGCUCCAGCUUUCAAAGGGCAGGCUGUCUGAGUAGAAGACGGGUCUGCAAAAUCUUUUAGGUUUACGAAUCCUGUGCCUUACCCCAUUCCUGCAGGGUCUGUUGAAGCCUCCCAACACAUCUGUGCUGCUGUGGCAUGAAUCCCUGAGCUGGAGGAAAUGGGAACAGUUUGACACAGGAUGCUGCUGUUCCCUUCUUUAAUUAGUUGGUGGGGUGCUGGGGGCUGCGUAUCCAGCAAGAGCGGUGGUAUGGUCCUGUUUGCCUGGUGCUGUGCUCCUGAUAGUCUGCUGGUGGUCCUGUGCCACCCCAGCUCAGCCUGCUGUGUUUGUCCCCACUUUGAGACCUUCCAGGAGUUGUUAAUGAUGGUGAAUUAAUGCUGCUGAAUCCUUGCGGCUGCCCGAGGUGGGGGGAGCUCCGCGAGCAAGUCUAAAAGCUCUGGCACUUGGUAAUGGGGCAGGUGAGCAGGGAGGUGAGUGCUCAGACACGUACAUCCCUAUGGGACCUGCACCAGGAGCCAGGCUGUGCCGAGCAGAGGGGAGCAGGGUGAGAUGGGUCUCCUCAUGCUUGCAGAGCCCUCCGCUUCUUUUCUUGCUCAUAUUCUGGAGCUGAGCCAUUCAUGAUCUGUUAAUAGGAUAUUUAAAAAAAAAAAAAAAGCUUGAUUCAUAUCUAGCUUAUCUUAAAUUUCAUUUGACCUGAUUAAAGUGCUGCUCGUGCUGCCUGCCUGGCAUGUGGUUUAUUCAUUUCCCCAUGUUCUGCUGGGGCAUGGCGUUGCCUUCGCUUUCCAUGGAGGGACAGCAAGCUGUGCCCCGUGGGAUGUUACUGGGGGGCAGCACCCAGCCCCUACCUGCAUAGGGCUCAGGCCCUGCUCUCAUUUUCUUUAGAUCCUGCUCUGAGCCCUGUUUUGGUUCCUAGUGAUCCGUGUAUUACGUGGCAGGCGGGGAGCAAGGGAAGAGUGGGGCCAGAGGGGGCUGAGCACAGCUGAAGCUGCCCAGCAGCAGCU